rnacentral:rRNA from 3 species
GGGUUGUGAGGUUAAGCGACUAAGCGUACACGGUGGAUGCCCUGGCAGUCAGAGGCGAUGAAGGGCGUGCUAAUCUGCGAUAAGCGCCGGUAAGGUGAUAUGAACCGUUAUAACCGGCGAUACCCGAAUGGGGAAACCCAGUGUGAUUCGUCACACUAUCAUUAACUGAAUCCAUAGGUUAAUGAGGCGAACCGGGGGAACUGAAACAUCUAAGUACC